CCUACGGGAGGCAGCAGUGGGGGAUAUUGCUCAAUGGGGGCAACUCUGAUGCAGCGACGCCGCGUGUGGGAAGACGGUCCUCUGGAUUGUAAACCACUGUCCCCAGGGACGAAGAUGACGGUACCUGGGGAGGAAGCUCCGGCUAACUACGUGCCAGCAGCCGCGGUAAUACGUAGGGAGCGAGCGUUGUCCGGAAUUACUGGGUGUAAAGGGAGCGUAGGCGGGACUGCAAGUUGGGUGUAAAAUCUACCGGCUCAACCGGUAGCCGCACUCAAAACUGCAGUUCUUGAGGGAAGUAGAGGCAGGCGGAAUGCCUGGUGUAGCGGUGAAAUGCGUAGAUAUUAGGAGGAACACCAGUGGCGAAGGCGGCCUGCUGGGCUUUUACUGACGCUGAGGCUCGAAAGUGUGGGGAGCAAACAGGAUUAGAUACCCGAGUAGUC
rnacentral:rRNA from 1 species